CCUGGCUCAGAUUGAACGCUGGCGGCAUGCCUAACACAUGCAAGUCGAACGGCAGCACGGUCUAGCUUGCUAGAUGGGUGGCGAGUGGCGGACGGGUGAGUAAUGCGCAGGAAUAUGCCUUAAAGUGGGGGACAACUUGGGGAAACUCAAGCUAAUACCGCGUAAUCUCUUCGGAGAAACGCUGGGGACCUUCGGGCCUGGCGCUUUAAGAUUAGCCU
rnacentral:rRNA from 1 species